UUUUUCAGCAGGUUUGCAGUAGAUGCCUGAGGUGCCUUGGGUUGGUUUUUCUCCCUGUCCUUCCACAGGUGCUGGGUGUGACCCAGCGUGUUAAGCCAGGGGUACCAUUUGCUGCUCUCCACAGUCCUGCUGUUCUCCUCUCUCAGUCCUGCUUUUGUUCUGCAGCUGACUGGGUGGCAGUGCCCAAGGUUGAAUGCUAACUCCUACUCCUCUCUGCCCGUCCCUGGGGAAGAAUAAGAAGGGUUUUGUUUUUCCUUUGACGUUUACCAUGGCAAACAAAGCUCAGCAGAAUAGUGAGGUUUGCUCCAGCUAUUUCCUGGCAGUAGCUGAGCUUGUGUGGAGCAAGUGUAAAGACACACAUGAGGUGAUAAUCAUGGAAAUUGUGGCUGCCAUGGAAAACCAGGAUGCCAAUACUUCAUUAGUCAGCACUGCCCAUGGAAUUCAUAAAGCGUCUCUAUUGCCAUGUUUGCUGUUUUGAGGAGAUACUCCAAUGUUUCCCCAGCUGCUGUGGGGUGAACAGUGGGAAGGACACAGGAAAGGAGAUUGCUCCAGGGAAUCCUCUUGUGAAAUCCAAAGGUAUUGAAUCAUAGUUGUUUGCCCUCUUCAUGCCACAAUCCUGGUGGUUUUUUUCCCUGGAGCAAAGCAUGCUUUUGCUUUAUGAAAUUGGAAGGUGAAGAAACCCUAGAAGAGGCUCAGGAAGUUUGCUGUGGGAUGCCUGUCAGACUUGGAUCAAGCAAGAGAUGAACACCACACUGGGCAGCUUGCUCCAAACUGCUACAGUCCCAGACUUAGCUGGGACCGUGGAAGAAAGAGACUGAGUCUCUGGCUGUAUUUUUACCCUUUUGUAGAAGAGAGCAGCUAUUCCGAUGCCCUCGACUCUGGGUGUGGGGUGUAUCCACCAGUAUGAUGAAGACAGACCUUGUGGUGGGAGCCACAGUAGCUGCACUUGCCACUUCCCCCCUGUGGCCUUGGGAUUUUGAUUAAUCUCAACCCGUGCUGCUUCUGGCUGCAGUGAUUGGCUGCUGCUGCAAAUUUCAGUGAAAUCCACAGCCUGGCUUCAAAGUCCUGGGCUGUGAGUGUGCAGCUGAGGCGAGAUCACAUGUGUGGAGGAGCUGCCUGAUGCUUUUUGUGACCUAAAAAAAGAACUGUAGACCUUGAAAUAGCACAGAUCCAGUGAGCAGGAAAGCAGUGAUCUCUGCAUGACUGCUCAGGCUGUUUAUUAAGAUAUUAAAAUACAUGAUCUUCUUCUAUUCCUUCUCUCUUUCCUGCACAUGAGCUCUUGGCUCCAAAUCCAAAGUUUUGAGGACAGCUUACUUGGGCUUUUAUUGCUGGUCCAAACUCUUCUGUUUUGUACCUUCUUCCCCAAGUAAUAGAUUCUAUUUAGCGCCUUCCUUUUUGCUUUGGAUAAUGGAGGAAGAGAAAACAAGUAUUUCAACAGAGAACGAAACUGUGUGAAGAAAGUCGGGGCGGUGGGUGUGUUUCGUCAGCCCGGUUCCUUACAGCAGCCUUUGUAGCUGUUCUCUGCCCACUUUUAUUUUUCCUGCAAAAGCUGUAAUUCUUUGUGCUUUUCCUUAAAGCCAUAGCUCCUGGUGUCCCGUGAUUAUCUAAUCACUUCUGUGUGAGCCCAAAUGACUCACAGCAGAUGGAAAACACUGGAGGGCAAUUACUUCCAUGGCUAAAAAAGCCCUAGGUGCAAAAAACAGCUUCUAUGUGGAAUCCUCAAAAACUAGCAAAACAAAGACCAAAUGAAAGGAUCUCAGCUCCAUAUUUUAUGUUUUAUAUAUUUCUAUUGAAGUAUAUUUUAAAA